rnacentral:rRNA from 1 species
CCACGCCGUAAACGAUGUCAACUAGUCGUUGGGCCUUUCGGGGCUUAGUGACGCAGCUAACGCGUGAAGUUGACCGCCUGGGGAGUACGGCCGCAAGGCUAAAACUCAAAUGAAUUGACGGGGGCCCGCACAAGCGGUGGAGCAUGUGGUUUAAUUCGAUGCAACGCGAAGAACCUUACCUACCCUUGACAUCAUCAGAACUUGUUAGAGAUAACUCGGUGCCUUCGGGAAC